rnacentral:tRNA from 1 species
GAGAGUGUGGCUCAGUUGGUAGAGCAACGGACUUUUAAUCCGUAGGUCAUGGGUUCGAGCCCCAUCACUCUCA